rnacentral:rRNA from 1 species
GUCCACGCCGUAAACGAUGAGUGCUAUACGUCGGACGUAAGUUCGGUGUUGAAGCUAACGCAAUAAGCACUCCGCCUGGGGACUACGAUCGCAAGAUUAAAACUCAAAGGAAUUGACGGGGCCGCACAAGUGGUGGAGCAUGUGGUUUAAUUCGAUACUACGCGAAGAAACUUACCAACCUUUGACAUAUUGAGUGUGGAACUUGGAAACUUGUUCCUUCAGUUCGGCUGGCUCAUUACAGGUGUUGCAUGGCUGUCGU